rnacentral:rRNA from 1 species
GAACGGACCUGGCCAUCAUGAGUCAGUGGCGUACGGGUGAGUACACGUGGAUCAUCUACCUCCUGGUGGGGAAACUUUGGGAAACCGAAGCUAAUACCGCAUAAUUCCGAAAGGAGAAAUGCUCAAGUCGCCGGGAGAGGAGUCCGCGGCCGAUUAGCUAGUUGGUAGGGUAAAAGCCUACCAAGGCAAAGAUCGGUAUCCGGCCUGAGAGGGCACACGGUCACUCUGGCACUGAAACACGGGCCAGACUCCUACGGGAGGCAGCAGUGGGGAAUCUUGCUCAAUGGGGGAAACCCUGAUGCAGCGACUCCGCGUGAGCGAUGAAGCCCUUCGGGGUGUAAAGCUCUUUCGACAGGAACGAUAAUGACGGUACCUGUAUAAGACUCUGCGGCUAACUACGUGCCAGCAGUCGCGGUAAU